rnacentral:rRNA from 1 species
AUGGUUGAUCACCUCAAACGCCUCUGCAUUGACCACUAUUUCCAGGAUGAAAUCGAUAACAUAAUGGACUCGUCUGUGGAUCUCCUCCAUAGUGAUGAUCUACUUGACGCAACCCUUUCCUUAAGGCUGAUGAGAGAAGUUGGAUAUUAUGUUUCGGCAGACGAUGUUCUUCAGAAGUUCACAAACGCUAAUGGUGAUUUCAACCUUAGGCAUAGCAAAGACCUUAGAGGGUUGCUGAGCUUGCAUGACAUGUCACACCUCAACAUGGGAGAAGCUUCACUCUACAAGGCAAAUGAAUUCUCAAGCAAGCACCUAAAAUUUGCACUUAAGUGUUUGGAGCCAAACCUUGCGAGAUAUGUGAUGAAGUCACUAGACCAUCCCUACCAUGUGAGCCUGAGGCAAUACAAGGCUAGGCAUCAUUUGAGUUACCUCCAGAACUUGCCUACUAGGCACACUGCAAUUGAGAAGCUGGCACUUGCAGAAUUUCAGAUGAAGAAGUUGCAACAUCAGAGUGAAAUGCAAGAGAUUAAGAGAUGGUGGGUGGAUUUGGGAUUGUCUCAAGAAAUUCCUGCUGCAAGGGACCAAGUUCUGAAAUGGUACAUGUGGUCCAUGACUAUCCUCGAGGGUUUCUCCUUCUCAAGAUAU